rnacentral:rRNA from 1 species
GUCGAACGGGUGUACAGAAGGGAAGAUUUCGGUCGGAAGAUCUGUGCAUGAGUGGCGGACGGGUGAGUAACGCGUGGGCAACCUGGCCUGUACAGGGGGAUAACACUUAGAAAUAGGUGCUAAUACCGCAUAACGGGAGAAGCCGCAUGGCUUUUUCCUGAAAACUCCGGUGGUACAGGAUGGGCCCGCGUCUGAUUAGCCAGUUGGCAGGGUAACGGCCUACCAAAGCGACGAUCAGUAGCCGGCCUGAGAGGGCGGACGGCCACACUGGGACUGAGACACGGCCCAGACUCCUACGGGAGGCAGCAGUGGGGGAUAUUGCACAAUGGGGGAAACCCUGAUGCAGCGACGCCGCGUGGGUGAAGAAGCGCCUCGGCGCGUAAAGCCCUGUCAGCAGGGAAGAAAAUGACGGUACCUGAAGAAGAAGCCCCGGCUAACUACGUGCCAGCAGCCGCGGUAAUACGUAAGGGGCAAGCGUUAUCCGGAUUUACUGGGUGUAAAGGGGGCGCAGACGGCGAUGCAAGCCAGGAGUGAAAGCCCGGGGCCCAACCCCGGGACUGCUCUUGGAACUGCGUGGCUAGAGUGCAGGAGGGGCAGGCGGAAUUCCUGGUGUAGCGGUGAAAUGCGUAGAUAUCAGGAGGAACGCCGGUGGCGAAGGCGGCCUGCUGGACUGCAACUGAC